rnacentral:rRNA from 1 species
AGUGAACGCUGGCGGCGUGCCUAAUACAUGCAAGUCGAACGGAGUGGCGCACGGGUGAGUAAUAUAUAGCUAAUCUGCCCCUUGCUGGAGGACAACAGUUAGAAAUGACUGCUAAUACUCCAUAGCAAGGGCUGAGACUAUAUGGUAUCAGCUAGUCGGUGGGGUAACGGCCUACCGAGGCUAUGACGCGUAACCGGUCUAAGAGGAGGAUCAGUCACAUGGGAACUGAGGCAGGGUCAAAAAACCUACGGGAGGCGGCAGAAGGGAAUAAUGCGCAAUGGGUGAAAGCCUGGCGGAGCAACGCAGCGUGGAGGACGAUAGUUAUCGGAGAGUAAACUCCUUAUGUUAGGGAAGCGGUACCUAACGAAUAAGCACCGGCUAACUCCGUGCCAGCAGCCGCGGUAAUUC